UACGGAGGGUGCAAGCGUUAUCCGGAUUCACUGGGUUUAAAGGGUGCGUAGGUGGGCUGGUAAGUCAGUGUGAAAUCUCCAGGCUUAACUUGGAAACUGCCAUUGAUACUAUUAGUCUUGAAUACCGUGGAGGUCAGCGGAAUAUGUCAUGUAGUGGUGAAAUGCUUAGAUAUGACAUAGAACACCAAUUGCGAAGGCAGCUGGCUACACGAAUAUUGACACUGAUGCACGAAAGCGUGGGGAUCAAACAGG
rnacentral:rRNA from 1 species